rnacentral:tRNA from 1 species
ACCUGCGUUGGUCGGCGGGACUUAAACCCUUUGAUUCGUAAUCAGUAGGUCCACAGUUCGAUUCUGUGCGCCGGCACCA